CUGGGUGUGUAAGCGUAGCGAUACGUUGAGCUAACCAGUACUAAUGACCCGAGAGGCUUAACCUUACAACACCGAAGGUGUUU
rnacentral:rRNA from 1 species